GCCGGGGUAGCUCAGACGGCAGAGCGAUUCACUCGUAAUGAAUAGGUCAGGGGUUCGAUUCCCCUCCCCGGCU
rnacentral:tRNA from 2 species